GGUGCAUGAGCGUACACAUCUGUAAUCCUAGCUACCAAGGGAGGCUGGGGCUGGAGGAUCUCUUGAGCUCUGGAAUUCUGAGUUGCAAUAUGCUAAGCCAAUCAGUUAUCCACACUAAUAAAGGCAUCAACAUGGUAAGCCCCAGGAAAUGGGGGUGCACCAGGUUGCCUAAGGAGGGGCAAAUUGUCUUAGGUUGGAAAUAGAUCUAGUCAAAGCUUCCAAGAUGAUGAUUAGUGAGACUGAGUCUGUGUGUAAGCUGGAUGUGAUAGGGAAACCCAUCA
rnacentral:sRNA from 1 species